UGGCUGACCACACCCUGGCAGCCUGGCUGACCAAAGUGCAUUUUCUUCUCCAUUUACAGGAGCUCUGCUUCCUCCUUUUUGCUGGCCCCCAUCCUCCGGUGUUGCUGGCAGAAACUCACCGCCUGCAUGCUGGGGAGGCAGCAUCCGCCUGGGAACACAACGAACCAGGUCUAGCCCCAGGCCUGUAUUUCCUUUCCUUAGGCCUCAGUCUCUCCAUUUGACCUUAGGGAGUUUUGCCAAACCAGUGGUUCUCAACUUUCGCUGAGCGGUAAGCCAGCAGGGCAUCUUACAGAAAUAUCUGUGCCCAGACAGCAGUCCAGACCCAAUAAGCUAGAAGGCCUAAGGAGUAGAACCCAGGCAUCAGCAUUCUUUAAAUCUUCCCAGGUGAUUCCAAUGGACAGUCAAGUUUGAGAACCGCGGACCAUCAUCUCCGUGGUAUGGGAGCGUACAAUUUUGAUGUCCAGUGCAUUUGCUACAUCUUCUGUGGGUGGAGGGUUAAAUGAAACGUGAGAUUCACCCAAACAUCUGGGUUUCUGUCUACAAACAUCCUCCUGUCCUCAGCCAGCUGUUGACCGAGCCACCCCACCCGGGACUUUGUCCCAGCCCCACCCUCCUUCCGCUGACCCUCGGGGCUCCGCCUCCUGCCUCCUCCAUUUUGAUGUUUGGGAUCAAAGAUCCAGGAUCACUGACAAGGCAGAGGCUCCUCAGGUGCAGGCAGACGUUCCGAGGCUUCAGGAAGGGCUUUUUAUCUGGCUGGGCACUUGUGCAUCAAGGUGAGAGGAGCUGCUACCCGACGGGCCACAGAGCUGACCCAUGGCGCAACCCGAGCAGGACGUCAGGGAGAAGCUGGCUGGUGAAUAUAAACAAGGAGAUUCUGAUCCACAGUUGCCAAAUGACUCAGCAGAUGCCAAACCCUCUACAGCUGGCCCCUGUCUAGGACAAAGACAUUCUAAGACUACAGGACUUCCAGGAAGUAGAGCUCACUUUAACGGAAAAUGGAAACUCUGAACUGGAAGAAUACACAUCAUCUCUGACAGAGAAACCCUGCUAUAACAGGAAUGCUGUCAAAAUGAUUAAAAAAUCCCAGAAAUGAGGAACUGGAGUCAAU
rnacentral:lncRNA from 1 species